ACUGCAUUUUUUUCGUGUAUCUCGACUAAGUUCAAAAUGCUCUUCACCAAUAUAUAGUGCCAAUUUACUGUUAAUAUUUAAUAUUUAACAUUUAACAAUAAAAUUCUAUUCCAAACCCCACUAUUCUAUACGAAUACGAAAUUGGAAUAUGGCGCUGUUAGAAACAAAAGGUUUCUUCAAUGCUCAAUGAACAUUAUGGCGGUCUUUUAAGGUUGGGAUUUCUACCAUCCACUGGUGUUCCACAUCUUGAUUUUACUUAUACUAUGGUCGACGCAAGGGCUUUCGGUACAAUAGUCUCUAACCUUCGUACGCUUAGAAGCGGCGACUGGUUCGGUCGUGUUCCGUUAUUCUAACUGUUAUUACAUAGUAAGUCGAAAUUAUACCUAAUAUAUGUACCUUUUUCUUAAAACUAGUAUGCAAAAAUGGGUAUUAUGUACUAAGAUAUUGUUAAAUUUAAUUUUAUAUACAUAUCUUUGACAAUAUUACAGUAUAAAUCUGCAUACAUAUAUAUUUCAUUUAUAUGAAAAUUUGAAACCAAACAUUUCAAUACAAGCCACGUGCUUUUCAUUUUAAUUGAUAUAAUAUUUCUUUUAGGUUAUCACCAACAUGCGAAGAUAAUCUGUAUAUAUUAUUUGCUAAUUCUAAUAAUAAAAAAUUAAUAUUAAUAUUAAUUUCUAGGUGUGAUGCUGCAUAAUUCUUACAGAGAUGAAAUAGAAGUCGUGGAAGAGUCAGAAAUAUAAUUCAGCAUAUUAAUGAUAUGUAAUACAUUUUUUUAUUGUAUAAGAAACAUAAUUUAAUAAAUAAAGUUUUAUAAAAAAA